UGCGUUCGCGGCGCGUGCGGAGCCGUGCCCCUGCCGCCUCCCUGCACGGCGCCUGCCCGUGCCACGGCGCCUCCCGUCCUGUGCGUUAUUCCGGCGUUGCCUCGGUAAUGCUCACGUACCCUAAUUUAGCCAUCUCCUCCUCGGUCCCCCGUCCAAAACACUGGCGUAGUUACGCCUCGAACGUUGCUGUUAAUCUGCCAGCCUCUGCAGGUCUUCCCGAGCCCGAGAGGGGUGAGAUAAGAGUGACUGUAAAGGCUUGCACGGUUCUGCUUGCGCACAGUGGCAGAUCUCCACGAAAGUACAUUCUCUUACAAAUACACUGACUCUUACUUAAUUUUCAUCUGACAUCGAGUCAUAGGUCACUUCCCGGAGUAACCGGGCUGGGUAACCACGAACAGUGCUGAGUAAUGUCCACUGGUAUGCGGGACUUCUCCCAGUGUGCCCAGCACGGGUUCCUACCACAGACUGUCCUCAAGAUCACCGUUACUUCUUUGUUUCUACUGUUUCUUACACAUUUCGUGUGUAUUCUCAACAAACACAUUAUGUGGAGAGACGUAAUAUUAUCAUUAUAAUUACUACUAUAUUAUAGAGUAUUACAGAAUUUAUUAUUGGUGUUACUGACUUAGGUUUUUGACAAGUUCGACAGCUUUUUCACGGUCAGUCCUAACACAAAUGAAGCUAAGAUAGAGCAUAGAAACUGUCCUGGUAAGUAAUUAAGGUCAUCCAUUUUACUUGUUUUGCAUCUCUUGUUUCUGAAAACAAUCUUACGUCUUCAGGUGUAUCACAGGUUACUAAGCAAUCCUUUGAUUUGUAUACACAAUUAAUAACCUCUUAUAUCAUCCAUAUAUUCCAUUUUCCCUGGAAAGCAAUAAAUUCCAUGCACUGUACUAACAGACCAUUUCAGAAGACAGAAGUGUAUGUACAGCACUUUCUCCUUUAAGAUGAGAUCAAGUAUUGUAGUGGAAAAUUAAACUAGUAUGUUAAUCAGAAAAGCAAUAAAUAUUUCUAAGGAGGUGGGGAGAGCUAUUACUUCUUAUCUCUGCCCUCCAUUUCUUCUUGCUGUUUUCUGCUCUGUGUGACCUGAUAAAAGGGCUAAGAGUCACAAGACCUGUUCUCAUGUGGGAUGGGGACUGGGGAAGAACUUGGGGUUUACAGUCACUAGCUGUGGAGUAUCAAUGUUGAAUCAGAACCAUGGAGAUGGGGAGGGACCUCCAGAGCACUGCAGGGAGAGCAUGCUGCUCAGGGCCUUGCCCUGCCAGGAUUUUGCACGUCUCCACAGACAGAGAUUCCACUGCCACUCAGAGGACCUCUUCCAGGGGCUGAAAACACUCAUUGUAAAAACAUUUCAUUAUAUCAAAUUCCUGAACCGAAGCCAUGAUGAGUUUUGGAUCCAGCCCUGAAUUCUCCCCCUGAGGCCCAUCUUUGCUUUGUAUGAGUGACAGAAAAAUCAUACAUUUCUAGGUUUUAUUACCAAAGAAAGAUACUUUAUGUUGUGGAUAUUCAAUCUAUUGGCAUGACACGAUGCUAUUGAUGAAGUGUGUUAAGGAAAUGCUUUGGUUCUAAUGAUUUGAUUUCAUUUUGGUUUGACUCCUAUUUCAACACUCCCAACUUUUAAAAGUAUGGGCCAUGUGAGAUGUAAAAUAUAUAUAUCGAUGUCACUAAUCGGAAGCUCUUUCUGGUCACAUUGUAAAGCACACUUAAUCAACUUCUUUAAGAUCAUGUUACAGAAGGCUAUUAACUAUACUCUUAAAACAGUUAAAUAGUUAUAAAUAAUGUUUUAUAUUAUGGCUGACAACACUGAAUUGCCCAGCGUUUAAGGAAAUCUAAUCACAAGGCAAGGAGACUUUGCCUUCCAGUAAGAUGGCGUGGCAAAACUUUGGAACAUAUUAGAAAUCACAUACUAUUGCUAACAUUUCCUAUUAAGGAGAGAGUCUCUCUCUGUGUAUUUUGGAUUUCUUUUCCAACACUUAAUUGCAGCUGAUGAAGAAAAGCUAUUCAAAAGCUGCCAGGAUUUUUAAAUCUGUAUGAGUGAGAUUGAUGAAAUUUGUGGGUUUUCCCAAAAGAGUAUAGGUGAGAGCAGACAUGUAAAUUUUGUAUGUGUGUGCAUGUACGUGUGUGACAGAGGAAAGAGCAAGAGCUUACUCCUAAGGUGUGAGACUUGGCAGCGCUGCACUGUACAAUGGGCACAAGAAACCGCAUGUCUGUAAAUGACCGCAUUUGAAUUGCUGUUAUUUCACUGUUGGGUUACUGUAUUGUUAAAGUGAAAAGGAAUGUUUUUAAUAAAUGCAAAUAAUGAAUUAAAUGCUUGCACAUACUGAG